CUCCCCGACGGGAGUCGCCUCUUCACGUUCGCUACAAAGAAUCGACUCAAGCCUCUGCCCCUUUUGUCUAAAAGUGUAAAGUGCCGUUCUCUUAUUAGUAGUAUUAUUAUUAUAAUAAAUAACAAUACACUUCCAUACCUGCCAGUAACAAUAAUAAUUAACAAAAAAAAAAAGAAUUAGGCGGACGUCUUUACAGCCGCGAGUCUUCAAAAGCAGCAGACAGAAUGCCAAGGAAAGAAAGGAUCAAAAGAAAAAACACAAGGAACUCUCUGAUGCAGCUAAAGGUAGCAUCUCUCUCACAAGUUGGCUGAGGAGAGAGAAUAAAGAUGAAGGUUUUUUGCAAAGAGCAUUCAAACUAUGACCAAAUCCAAGGAGGACACUUUAGAGCAGGAAAAAGAAUCAAUUAGGGU